UACAGAGGUGGCAAGCGUUGUUCGAAAUUACUGGACGUAAAGGGCGCAUAGGCGGUUCGUUAAGUCCUGUGUAAAAUCCCCCGGCUCAACUAGGGAACUGCACAGGAAACUAGCGGGCUUGAGUUCGGGAGAGGGAAGCGGAAUUCCGGGUGUAGCGGUGAAAUGCGUAGAUAUCCGGAGGAACACCGGUGGCGAAGGCGGCUUCCUGGACCGACACUGACGCUGAGGCGCGAAAGCUAGGGGAGCAAACGGG
rnacentral:rRNA from 1 species